GGGGAAUAUUGGACAAUGGGCGCAAGCCUGAUCCAGCCAUGCCGCGUGAGUGAUGAAGGCCUUAGGGUUGUAAAGCUCUUUCGACGGGGACGAUAAUGACGGUACCCGUAGAAGAAGCCCCGGCUAACUUCGUGCCAGCAGCCGCGGUAAUACGAAGGGGGCUAGCGUUGCUCGGAAUCACUGGGCGUAAAGGGCGCGUAGGCGGAUAUUUAAGUCAGGGGUGAAAGCCCGAGGCUCAACCUCGGAACUGCCUUUGAUACUGAGUAUCUUGAGACCGGUAGAGGUAAGUGGAACUGCGAGUGUAGAGGUGAAAUUCGUAGAUAUUCGCAAGAACACCAGUGGCGAAGGCGGCUCACUGGCCCGGUACUGACGCUGAGGUGCGAAAGCGUGGGGAGCAAA
rnacentral:rRNA from 1 species